UACAGGGGGUGCGAGCGUUAAUCGGAAUUACUGGGCGUAAAGGGCGCGUAGGCGGUCGAGUAAGUCGGAUGUGAAAUCCCCGGGCUUAACCUGGGAAUUGCAUUCGAUACUGCUUGGCUAGAGUGUGGAAGAGGGAAGCGGAAUUUCCGGUGUAGCGGUGAAAUGCGUAGAUAUCGGAAGGAACACCAGUGGCGAAGGCGGCUUCCUGGUCCAACACUGACGCUGAGGCGCGAAAGCGUGGGGAGCAAACAGG
rnacentral:rRNA from 1 species